GCCUGGGUGGCUCAGUUGGUAAGCGUCUGACUUCAGCUCAGGUCAUGAUCUCACGGUUCGUGAGUUCAAGCCUCACUUUGGACU
rnacentral:tRNA from 1 species